rnacentral:tRNA from 1 species
GGAGAGGUGGCCGAGUGGCUUAAGGCGCAGGUUUGCUAAACCUGUGAAGGGUUAAUUCUCUUCCGAGGGUUCGAAUCCCUCUCUCUCCGCCA